AUUGAACGCUGGCGGCAUGCCUUACACAUGCAAGUCGAACGGCAGCACGGGAGCAAUCCUGGUGGCGAGUGGCGAACGGGUGAGUAAUAUAUCGGAACGUGCCCAGUAGUGGGGGAUAACUACUCGAAAGAGCAGCUAAUACCGCAUACGACCUGAGGGGGAAAGGGGGGGAUCGCAAGACCUCUCGCUAUUGGAGCGGCCGAUAUCAGAUUAGCUAGUUGGUGGGGUAAAGGCCUACCAAGGCAACGAUCUGUAGUUGGUCUGGGAGGACGACCAGCCACACUGGGACUGAGACACGGCCCAGACUCCUACGGGAGGCAGCAGUGGGGAAUUUUGGACAAUGGGCGCAAGCCUGAUCCAGCAAUGCCGCGUGCAGGAAGAAGGCCUUCGGGUUGUAAACUGCUUUUGUCAGGGAAGAAAUCCUCUAGGUUAAUACCCUUGGGGGGAUGACGGUACCUGAAGAAUAAGCACCGGCUAACUACGUGCCAGCCGCCGCCGUAACAC
rnacentral:rRNA from 1 species